GAAUUCUCAGUAACUUCUUUGUGUUGUGUGUAUUCAACUCACAGAGUGGAACGUCCCUUUACACAGAGCAGAUUUGAAACACUCUUUUUGUGGAAUUUGCAAGUGGAGAUUUCAAGCGAUUUGAUGCCAACAGUAGAAAAGGAAAUAUCUGCAAAUAAAAACAAGACAGAAUCAUUCUCAGAAAGUGCUUUGUGAUGUGUGCGUUCGACUCACAGAGUUUAACCUUUCUUUUCAUAGAGGACUUUGGAAACACACUGUUUGUAAAGUCUGCAAGUGGAUAUAUGGACCUGUUUGAGGCCUUCGUUGGAAACGGGAUUUUAUCAUAUAAUGCUAGACGGAAGAAUUCUCAGUAAAUUCUUUGUGUUUUGUGCAUUCAACUCACAGAGUGGAACGUCCCUUUAGACAGAGCAGAUUUGAAACACUCUUUUUGCGGAAUUUGCAAGUGGAGAUUUCUAGCCAUUUGAUGCCAACAGUGGAAAGGGAAAUAUCUUCAAAUAAAAACUAGACAGAAUCAUCCUCAGAAAAUUCUUUGUGAUGUGUGCGUUCAACUCACAUAGUUUAACCUUUCUUUUUAUAGAGCAGUUUGGAAACACUUUGUUGGUAACGUCUGCAAGUGGAUAUAUGGAACGCUUUGAGGCUUUCGUUGGAAACGGGAUUUCUUCAUUUCAUGCUAGACAGAAGAAUUCUCAGUAACUUCUUUGUGUUGUGUGUAUUCAACUCACAGACUGGAACGUCGCUUUACACAGAGCAGAUUUGAAACACUCUUUUUGUGGAAUUUGCAAGUGGAGAUUUCAAGCGAUUUGAUGCCAACAGUAGAAAAGGAAAUAUCUGCAAAUAAAAACAAGACAGAAUCAUUCUCAGAAAGUGCUUUGUGAUGUGUGCGUUCAACUCACAGAGUUUAACCUUUCUUUUCAUAGAGGAGUUUGGAAACACACUGUUUGUAAAGUCUGCAAGUGGAUAUAUGGACCUGUUUGAGACCUUCGGUGGAAACGGGAUUUUAACAUAUAAUGCUAGACGGAAGAAUUCUCAGUAAAUUCUAUGUGUUGUGUGCUUUCAACUCACAUAGUUUAACCUUUCUUUUCAUAGAGCAGUUUGGAAACACUCUGUUGGUAAUGUCUGCAAGUGGAUAUAUGGACCGCUUGGAGGCUUUCGUUGGAAACGGGAUUUCUUCAUUUCAUGCUAGACAGAAGAAUUCUCAGUAACUUCUUUGUGUUGUGUGUAUUCAACUCACAGACUGGAACGUCCCUUUACACAGAGCAGAUUUGAAACACUCUUUUUGUGGAACUUGCAAGUGGAGAUUUCAAGCGAUUUGAUGCCAACAGUAGAAAAGGAAAUAUCUGUAAAUAAAAACAAGACAGAAUCAUUCUCAGAAAGUGCUUUGUGAUGUGUGCGUUCAACUCACAGAGUUUAUCCUUUCUUUUCAUAGAGGAGUUUGGAAACACACUGUUUGUAAAGUCUGCAAUUGGAUAUAUGGACCUGUUUGAGGCCUUCGUUGGAAACGGGAUUUUAUCAUAUAAUGCUAGACGGAAGAAUUCUCAGUAAAUUCUUUGUGUUGUGUGCAUUCAACUCACAGAGUGGAACGUCCCUUUAGACAGAGCAGAUUUGAAACACUGUUUUUGCGGAAUUUGCAAGUGGAGAUUUCUAGCCAUUUGAUGCCAACAGUAGAAAGGGAAAUAUCUUCAAAUAAAAACCAGACAGAAUCAUUCUCAGAAAAUUCUUUGUGAUGUGUGCGUUCAACUCACAUAGUUUAACCUUUCUUUUCAUAGAGCAGUUUGGAAACACUCUGUUUGUAAAGUCUGCAAGUGGAUAUAUGGACCGCAUUGAGGCCUUCGUUGGAAACGGGAUUUCUUCAUUUCAUGCUAGACAGAAGAAUUCUCAGUAACUUCUUUGUGCUGUGUGUAUUCAACUCACAGAGUGGAACGUCCCUUUACACAGAGCAGAUUUGAAACACUCUUUUUGUGGAAUUUGCAAGUGGAGAUUUCAAGCGAUUUGAUGCCAACAGUAGAAAAGGAAAUAUCUUCAAAUAAAAACUAGACAGAAUCAUUCUCAGAAACUACUUUGUGAUGUGUGCCUUCAACUCACAGAGUUUAACCUUUCUUUUCUUAGAGCAGUUUAGAAACACUCUGCUUGUUAUGUCUGCAAGUGGAUAUUUGGACCUCUUUGAGGGCUUCGUUGCAAACGGGGUUUCUUCCUUUCAUGCUAGACUAAGAAGAGUUCUCAGGAACUUUUUUGUGUUGUGUGUAUUCAACUCACAGAGUUGAACCUUGCUUUAGAGAGAGCAGAUUUGAAACACUCUUGCUGUGGCAUUUUCAGGUGGAGAUUUCAAGCGAUUUGAGGACAAUUGCAGAAAAGGAAAUAUCUUCGUAUAAUAACCAGACAGAAUCAUUCUCAGAAAGUGCUUUGUGAUGUGUGCGUUCAACUCACAGAGUUUAACCUUUCUUUUCAUAGAGGAGUUUGGAAACACACUGUUUGUAAAGUCUGCAAGUGGAAAUAUGGACCUGUUUGAGGCCUUCGUUGGAAACGGGAUUUCUUCAUUGAAUGCUAGACGGAAGAAUUCUCAGCAAAUUCUUUGUGUUGUGUGCAUUCAACUCCCAGAGUGGAACGUCCAUUUAGACAGAGCAGAUUUGAAACACUCAUUUUGCGGAAUUUGCAAGUGGAGAUUGCUAGCCAUUUGAUGCCAACAGUAGAAAGGGAAAUAUCUUCAAAUAAAAACUAGACAGAAUCAUCCUCAGAAAAUUCUUUGUGAUGUGUGCGUUCAACUCACAUAGUUUAACCUUUCUUUUCAUAGAGCAGUUUGGAAACUCUCUGUUGGUAAUGUGUGCAUGUGGAUAUAUGGACCGCUUUGAGGCCUUCGUUGGAAACGGGAUUUCUUCAUUUCAUGCUAGACACAAGAAUUCUCAGUAACUUCUUUGUGUUGUGUGUAUUAAACUCACAAACUGGAACGUCCCUUUACACAGAGCAGAUUUGAAACACUCUUUUUGUGGAAUUUGCAAGUGGAGAUUUCAAGCGAUUUGUUGCCAACAAUAGAAAAGGAAAUAUCUGCAAAUAAAAACUAGACAGAAUCAUUCUCAGAAAGUGCUUUGUGAUGUGUGCGUUCAACUCACAGAGUUUAACCUUUCUUUUCAUAGAGGAGUUUGGAAACACACUGUUUGUAAAGUCUGCAAUUGGAUAUAUGGACCUGUUUGAGGCCUUCGUUGGAAACGGGAUUUCUUCAUUGAAUGCUAGACGGAAGAAUUCUCAGUAAAUUCUUUGUGUUGUGUGCAUUCAACUCACAGAGUGGAACGUCCCUUUAGACAGAGCAGAUUUGAAACACUCUUUUUGCGGAAUUUCCAAGUGGAGAUUUCUAGCCAUUUGAUGCCAACAGUAGAAAGGGAAAUAUCUUCAAAUAAAAACCAGACAGAAUCAUUCUCAGAAAAUUCUUUGUGAUGUGUGCGUUCAACUCACAUAGUUUACCUUUCUUUUCAUAGAGCAGUUUAGAAACACACUGUAAAAUCUGCAAGUGGAUAUAUGGACAGUUUUGAGGCAUUCGUUGGAAACGGGAUUUCUUCAUUUAAUGCUAGACAGAAGAAUUCUCAUUAACUUCUUUGUGUUGUGUGUAUUCAACUGACAGAGUGGAACGUCCCUUUAGACAGAGCAGAUUUGAAACACUCUUUUUGUGGAAUUUGCAAGUGGACAUUUCAAUCGAUUUGAUGCCAGCAGUAGAAAAGGAAAUAUCUUCAAAUAAAAACUAGACAGAAUCAUUCUCAGAAACUACUUUGUGAUGUGUGCCUUCAACUCACAGAGUUUAACCGUUCUUUUCUUAGAGCAGUUUAGAAACUCUCUGCUUCUUAUGUCUGCAAGUGGAUAUUUGGAACUCUUUGAGGCCUUCGUUGCAAACCGGAUUUCUUCAUUUAAUGCUAGACUAAGAAGAGUUCUCAGUAACUUAUUUGUGUUGUGUGUAUUCAACUCACAGAAUUGAACCUUGCUUUAGAGAGAGCAGAUUUGAAACACUCUUGCUGUGGAAUUUUCAGUUGGAGAUUUCAAGGGAUUUGAGGACAAUUGCAGAAAAGGAAAUAUCUUCGUAUAAAAACCAGACAGAAUCAUUCUCAGAAACUUCUUUGUGAUGUGUGCAUUCAACUCACAGAGUUGAACUUUUCUUUUGAUAGAGCAGUUUUGAAACACUCUUUUUGUA
rnacentral:lncRNA from 1 species